CCACACGUGGCCCUGACCUCCGCAGAGGGCUGCAGGAAGGAGCUCAAUGCGGAACCGCGAAGGCUGCUGCAGCCCUCAGAUCUAACGCCUUUGACGCGUUGGAGCUUGUCAGCGAUAAAACCUGACGUGUGAAAGAAGAACAAAGGGAAGUCGGAAGGCUAGUGUAUAUCAAAGGAAAGGGGCUCCACGAAAUGCUACAAAGAAAUACUUCAGCCCAAAAUGUUUUCGGAAUUUGAGACGCUGAUGCAGCCGCCGCUGCUCCACCUGCAACUCUGAGCGUUGCCUUCUCUUUAACUGCCACUUUGAUACCGCAGCCUUUUGAAGUGCUUUUUCCUACAUGUAUUUGUAAUUUAUUUCUGCAACAGCUAGAACUUACUGUGGCUGCUGUUUACCCUCUAGUUGGGCCCUACUGCGAGGCAAGGUAAAAGUCAGGUCCGUCUGCGCCCUCUCCUGGUAAAGCUGUGAAGCUGCAGCAAACAGAGCCAAAUUGGUAUUUUCUCGUUCGCUGCAGCAAAUUUUUAUUAAAGUUUACCCUAUAUUUAUGAUUAUUAAACUUUAAUGUUCGCCAGAAUGGCCUGCAGGCCUCCUUAAAACAAGAUGUCUAAGCCCCCACCCCCACCUUCCCCUCGGAUUUCUGAUUCACUAGGUCUGGAGUGGAGCACAAUAAAUUUGCAUUUCUAGCAAGUUCCCAGGUGAUGCUGGUAGAACACACGCCCAGAACCACCGCCAGGUACACAAGUCACUGGACAAGGUGGGAAGGCAUCUUACCCAAUCAACGGACCUUAUUCUAAAACGGGAAGGGCACUGAGUGAGAUACAGUGCCUACAACAAUGCAAAGGCUAGAAGAUAUGAAGGCAGGGACAUGGAAUGGAGAAUUUCCAUUUCAUGGAUCCACAUAAACUGAAAAGGAACAAGAGUAGGUGAGACCAAAGAGCACUGAAGGCCAUGAACCAUCACCAUUCUCAACUCCUGGGCCAGGCAAGAAAAGCCACAGUUCCUGGAAGGGGUGACGACAGCUUUAUUUACAGGAGUUCCUACGAAAAUCAUGGCAUCUUGGGACAUCUGAGGAGAGAGAAAAGAUGGCAAAAGCAGAGGCAAAGACAGAAAUAAAUCUUCUCUUCUUCGGUUUGUCUGACAAGCUUAUCCUUUGAUCACAAGGGAGGAAGAAAUGGAUGACAAGAGGAAUUUCCCCCACUACAAUAUGAGUUCCAUAAAAGCAAGGAUUUAUAUUUUCUUUCUCUUUUGUUCACUGAUAUAACCUCAGUACCUUGGACAGUCUCUGGCAAUAGGGAGAGCUCAGUAAAUGUUUGUUGAAUGAAUGAAUGAUCCCCUUCUCUAGGCAUAUGAAGAAAUAAGGAAGAGUGGUCACUCACAGCUAACUCAAGAUUCCCCUCCCACCCCAAUCAUCUACCCUGUUAAUUCUUUUUCAUCCUUGUUCAAAAAAUACCUAGAGGCUGGACACGGUGGCUCGCUCCUGUUAUCCCAGCACUUGGGGAGCCAAGGUGGGAGGAUGGCAUGAGGCCAGGAGUUCAAGACAAGACUGGGCAACAUAGGGAGACCCCAUCUCUACCAAAAACAAUUCUUUUUAAUUAGCUGGGCAUGGUGGCACACAGCUGUGGUUCCAGCUACUUGGGAGGCUGAGGUGGAAAGACUGCUUGAGCCCAAGAGGUCAAGGCUGCAUUGAGCCGUGAUUGAGCCACUGCAUUCCAGCCUGAGCAAGACCUUGUCUCAAAAAAAAAAAAAAAACCAUAAAAAUAAUUCUCAAAGAGCCCUGCUUUGUAUUAUCACACUCUAGCAAAGUUAUCAGGAAUUGACACUUGCGGGUAGAUACAGCCAAGGAAAUGGCAGCUCCCUGAAGAGCAGGAAGCAGUUUAUGACACCAAGCAAAUCUGGUUUCUCCCUGGGAAGGGAGGCUGGUUUUGGAAGUA